AUAGAGCAAAAGAGAAGAACAGGAAAUGAGAGUGCAAAUAAAAAGCAUCAGACCAACAAGAGACUGGACCAAGCUGUGGGAGGAGGAUACUCAGACAGAAGAGCAGAGAGACAGAGUGCAGACCGGAGAAGUGGGAGGAGGACAUAGAGACAGAAGAGCAGAGAGACAGGGGCAGACCACAACGCACAGCUACAGCUACACCUUAAAAGACAAGAGGGUUCCUCUGACAGAGAUUCAGGCUCCCUCAGGGCAGCCAGACAAGCGGGCAGGCAAAGGCAUGUCCAGCCAACCGGGGCCCCAGCCCAGGGUCUUGUUUCAAACCCCCCGUGAGCAGGAAGAGGAGCCUCCUCAACGCCGACUGGGAAAACUCACGGUCAAGUACAACCGCAAGGACCUGCAGCGGAGGCUGGACGUGGAGGAGUGGAUCGACGGACAGCUGCACCUCCUGUUUGACUGUGAGGAGGAUGAUAUUCCAGAGUUAGAGAUUGACAUUGACGAGUUGCUGGAUCUAUCAGACGCAGAGCAGAGAUCAAAGUUACACGAACUUCUCAGAGAGUGUGGCAAGCCGAAAGAGGUAGACCAUGGGACCAGUAACCUAAAUGGUCAGCGGUUCAAUUUCCAGAGCAGGCAAGGUAAAAAAAAAAGUAGUUCCUAGGGGCCCCCGAGUACCGCAGGGGUCCAUUGGAGUGGAUGUAAGCUCCAACUAGUAGCCAGUGGAGGGAGCGGAGGAGCAGGGUGACAUGGGAGAACUUGGGAAGACUGAACCCCAGGCUGUGCCACUUCCUGGUAAGGACUUUAUCGACGGCUUGCUGUAUCGGAUGAAGGGGCUUCGCAAGAUGUCCCUGAAAAAAUGAACUGACUCAGGAGCAAGAAAGCUGUGGACGUGACUAUGUCUCAUCGUUGCUGUGGACGUGACUAUAGUGACGCUCCCGUGUACCUACGUCCCAGCCGACCCUGUUUAGGGACCUCUUGGGACACGUUAUGCCCUAAUAGUCAACUACAUCAGAGACUCCUAACGUCACAGUUUUACAAUUUAGUUGCUAUGGUACAUUGUACGGAUGGAUAGCGUAUCCAAUCAACAACUCGCCCGUUAGGAACCACUUAUAACAUUCUUAUUUGUCACAAGCAUCCAACAGGAUAUCUGGCAAAAAAUAUUAGAUAAUAUAGCAUGGAGAUCUAUUCAAGAUUCAGUAUCGGUUGCCAGAAGCUGCAUGUUGAGAUCACACACUCAUCUUGGGUUAAGGCCAAUCACAUCGGAUGCUUUUGCGUCAUAUUAUUUUUCGCCGCUGACAUGAUUGGCUAAAAGACCAAGUGGUGAAGAUAAUCAAUCUGAGUUGGGCUGCCUGUAUAAUUGCAUCCUGUGUUUUGCACUGUAAUGAAGCUUGGGUGUUGUUUAUUCAUGGACUUUUGGCAUUACAACCAUUGUUAUGUUGAAAACCUGAUUAAUUAUAUUGACUUUUCUUCUCUAUGAAGUCCUUAUGACAAGCUGAAUAAUUUACGAUAAAUAUACUGUUAAUCUUAUUUUGUUUCGCAAGACAGUGGUGGCAUUAUUUCCCCCAGUAACACUACAUGGAAGUGAUGCCUAUAAUAUUUUGACCAAUUUUGCCACCAACAAAUCCACUUUAAUCCAGAAACAGGUAGUUAGGCAUCACAUAAUAUAGACAAACUGCAGUCCUGGUGGAGAUCCGAAUGGGUGAUGUUUGUGCCUCUCAAUAAAUUAUAAUAAACCAGUG